rnacentral:tRNA from 1 species
GCGGGGGUGCCAGAGUGGUCAAAUGGGCAACGCUAAGGACGUUGUGGCUUAGUGCCUGCGCAGGUUCAAAUCCUGUCUCCCGCA